AAUGCAUGAAUGAAAAACGAGGGGAAAAACCCAGAAGCGUCUUUAAGGAAUCGACAAGAAAAGUCAAGAAGCAAAGUCGAGAGAUUUCAUCUCAAGGAAUCAGGUACAGACUGACAUCCCUUGCCACUAGGCCCAUGUGACUGUAACGUGCAACCAGACUGAUGCUAAAGGUAUUGAGACUGCGGCAUCAUGUUUGUUACUGCCCCGAGGCAUCCUAAUCCACUGGCCCAAGAACCGAGGAUAUUUCUGGAGAAAGAGGAUACGGGGAAAUCACACAUCCUGGGAGGCAGAAUCCUCAGCAGUCGUUACUGAGAUCACAAGGUUUUUUGCUCAGUGAACAGGUCGCAAAAUGCAGACUUUCUCGCAAAAUUGCAGCAGAAAUGAAGCAUUGUAGAACGUUACACCAGACGCGUCAGAAUCCACAUGUUAAGAUAAACACACAGCGCGAACGUGCUCUCGGGAUCAGACAGACACAAUGUUAGUG